rnacentral:lncRNA from 1 species
UUUAAGGGAAGGGUGCUGAGAAUAUCAAUCAAGAAUUUCUUAGCCACAAAGAAGCUAGGUAGCUUGAGUUAUCUUGAUCUUCUCAAGUUCUUGUUAUCGUCAUUACUGCUUUCCCUGUAGCAGAUAGUUUACUAUAGACUGGUAUUUAGGGAGGAGACUGUACUGAUAAGAUAGAUAGUGACUCGAAUAGACAUGCUCACUUCUCAUCGCCUUCCUACCUAUUUCCUAGCAACAUUUCACUUAAUUGUAUCACCGAUUUCACUUGAGCAAUAUUUCACUGUUCG